rnacentral:rRNA from 1 species
GGCCAACACCGGUUGAUCGUGCCGGAGGCCACUGCUAUGGGGAUCCGACUAAGCCAUGCGAGUAGUGGGCGCCUCCGCAAGGGGGUGGCCCUGCGCACGGCUCAGUAACACGUCGUCAACCUACCCUAGGGACGGGGAUAACCUCGGGAAACUGAGGAUAAUCCCCGAUAGGCAAAGGGUGCUGGAAUGCCCCUUUGCCCAAAACCGGCGGGUAAAACCGCGCGGGCCCUAGGAUGGGACGGCGGCCUAUCAGGUAGUUGGUGGUGUAACGGACCACCAAGCCUACGACGGGUACGGGCUGUGAGAGCAGGAGCCCGGAGAUGGGCACUGAGACAAGGGCCCAGGCCCUACGGGGCGCAGCAGGCGCGAAACUUUCGCAAUGGGCGAAAGCCUGACGAAGGGAUCCCCAGUGCCGCUGGCCUUCGGGUCGGCGGCUUUUCGGGAGUGUAAAAAGCUCCCGGAAUAAG